GAAGCCGACCAGACCGCCGCUGGUGCAUUCGCCGAAAGGCCGCACUGGAGGAAGGUCCGGACUGCAUAGAGCAGCGUAGCGGGUAACGCCCGUCCACCGCGAGGUGCGGAUCAGAGCCACAGAGACGAGUCGCCCAAGGGUUCCCGAAGCGGAGGCACAGCCUGGACGCCAGUUCAGCGCCGUGCUCACCCGCCCAGGGGUUCGACCCCUGGGCGGGUGAAACGCGGCAAUCUCUACGCGCAGCAACACCAAAUAGGCCGGCAUUGAAGCGGCUCGCUGAGCCGGCGGGUAGGUGGCAUCGAGCCAGGGUGGCAACACCCCGGCCCAGAGGAAUGGCGGUCACGGUGGGGCGACCCACCGCACAGAAUCCGGCCUAUCGGUCGACUUCACUC
rnacentral:RNase_P_RNA from 1 species